AUUGAACGCUGGCGGCAGGCCUAACACAUGCAAGUCGAACGGUAACAGGGAUCAGCUUGCUGAUUCGCUGACGAGUGGCGGACGGGUGAGUAAUGUCUGGGAAACUUCCUGAUGGAGGGGGAUAACUACUGGAAACGGUAGCUAAUACCGCAUAACGUCGCAAGACCAAAGAGGGGGACCUUCGGGCCUCUUGCCAUCGGAUGUGCCCAGAUGGGAUUAGCUAGUAGGUGGGGUAACGGCUCACCUAGGCGACGAUCCCUAGCUGGUCUGAGAGGAGGACGAGCCACACUGGAACUGAGAAACGGUCCAGACUCCUACGGGAGGCAGCAGUGGGGAAUAUUGCACAAUGGGCGCAAGCCUGAUGCAGCCAUGCCGCGUGUAUGAAGAAGGCUUUCGGGUUGUAAAGUACUUUCAGCGGGGAGGAAGGGAGUAAAGUUAAUACCUUUGCGCAUUGACGUUACCCGCAGAAGAAGCACCGGCUAACUCCGUG
rnacentral:rRNA from 1 species